AAAGUACUCCCUCCGUCCGGAAAUAGUUGUCAUCAAAAUGGAUAAAAGAAGAUGUAUCUAGACGUAUUUUAGUUCUAAAUACAUUCCUUUUCAUCCAUUUUGAUGACAACUAUUUUCGGACGGAGGGAGUAUGUU
rfam:Triticum urartu cultivar G1812 contig1207946, whole genome shotgun sequence.